GAGAGCGGCGGACGGGUGAGUAAUGCCUAGGAAUCUGCCUGGUAGUGGGGGAUAACGCUCGGAAACGGACGCUAAUACCGCAUACGUCCUACGGGAGAAAGCAGGGGACCUUCGGGCCUUGCGCUAUCAGAUGAGCCUAGGUCGGAUUAGCUAGUUGGUGGGGUAAUGGCUCACCAAGGCGACGAUCCGUAACUGGUCUGAGAGGAUGAUCAGUCACACUGGAACUGAGACACGGUCCAGACUCCUACGGGAGGCAGCAGUGGGGAAUAUUGGACAAUGGGCGAAAGCCUGAUCCAGCCAUGCCGCGUGUGUGAAGAAGGUCUUCGGAUUGUAAAGCACUUUAAGUUGGGAGGAAGGGCAUUAACCUAAUACGUUAGUGUUUUGACGUUACCGACAGAAUAAGCACCGGCUAACUCUGUGCCAGCAGCCGCGGUAAUACAGAGGGUGCAAGCGUUAAUCGGAAUUACUGGGCGUAAAGCGCGCGUAGGUGGUUCGUUAAGUUGGAUGUGAAAUCCCCGGGCUCAACCUGGGAACUGCAUUCAAAACUGUCGAGCUAGAGUAUGGUAGA
rnacentral:rRNA from 1 species